rnacentral:rRNA from 1 species
CAGGCUUAACACAUGCAAGUCGAGGGGCAUCAGGAAGAAAGCUUGCUUUCUUUGCUGGCGACCGGCGCACGGGUGAGUAACACGUAUCCAACCUGCCCUUUACUCGGGGAUAGCCUUUCGAAAGAAAGAUUAAUACCCGAUAGCAUAAUGAUUCCGCAUGGUCUCAUUAUUAAAGGAUUCCGGUAAAGGAUGGGGAUGCGUUCCAUUAGGUUGUUGGUGAGGUAACGGCCCACCAAGCCUUCGAUGGAUAGGGGUUCUGAGAGGAAGGUCCCCCACAUUGGAACUGAGACACGGUCCAAACUCCUACGGGAGGCAGCAGUGAGGAAUAUUGGUCAAUGGGCGCUAGCCUGAACCAGCCAAGUAGCGUGAAGGAUGAAGGCUCUAUGGGUCGUAAACUUCUUUUAUAUAAGAAUAAAGUGCAGUAUGUAUACUGUUUUGUAUGUAUUAUAUGAAUAAGGAUCGGCUAACUCCGUGCCAGCAGCCGCGGUAAUACGGAGGAUCCGAGCGUUAUCCGGAUUUAUUGGGUUUAAAGGGAGCGUAGGUGGACUGGUAAGUCAGUUGUGAAAGUUUGCGGCUCAACCGUAAAAUUGCAGUUGAUACUGUCAGUCUUGAGUACAGUAGAGGUGGGCGGAAUUCGUGGUGUAGCGGUGAAAUGCUUAGAUAUCACGAAGAACUCCGAUUGCGAAGGCAGCUCACUGGACUGCAACUGACACUGAUGCUCGAAAGUGUGGGUAUCAAACAGGAUUAGAUACCCUGGUAGUCCACACAGUAAACGAUGAAUACUCGCUGUUUGCGAUAUACAGUAAGCGGCCAAGCGAAAGCAUUAAGUAUUCCACCUGGGGAGUACGCCGGCAACGGUGAAACUCAAAGGAAUUGACGGGGGCCCGCACAAGCGGAGGAACAUGUGGUUUAAUUCGAUGAUACGCGAGGAACCUUACCCGGGCUUAAAUUGCAGUGGAAUGAUGUGGAAACAUGUCAGUGAGCAAUCACCGCUGUGAAGGUGCUGCAUGGUUGUCGUCAGCUCGUGCCGUGAGGUGUCGGCUUAAGUGCCAUAACGAGCGCAACCCUUAUCUUUAGUUACUAACAGGUUAUGCUGAGGACUCUAGAGAGACUGCCGUCGUAAGAUGUGAGGAAGGUGGGGAUGACGUCAAAUCAGCACGGCCCUUACGUCCGGGGCUACACACGUGUUACAAUGGGGGGUACAGAAGGCAGCUAGCGGGUGACCGUAUGCUAAUCCCAAAAUCCUCUCUCAGUUCGGAUCGAAGUCUGCAACCCGACUUCGUGAAGCUGGAUUCGCUAGUAAUCGCGCAUCAGCCACGGCGCGGUGAAUACGUUCCCGGGCCUUGUACACACCGCCCGUCAAGCCAUGGGAGCCGGGGGUACCUGAAGUACGUAACCGCAAGGAUCGUCCUAGGGUAAAACUGGUGACUGGGGCUAAGUC